AGUGAACGCUGGCGGUAGGCCUAACACAUGCAAGUCAAACGGCAGCACAGAGGAGCUUGCUCCUUGGGUGGCGAGUGGCGGACGGGUGAGGAAUACAUCGGAAUCUACUCUGUCGUGGGGGAUAACGUAGGGAAACUUACGCUAAUACCGCAUACGACCUACGGGUGAAAGCAGGGGACCUUCGGGCCUUGCGCGAUUGAAUGAGCCGAUGUCGGAUUAGCUAGUUGGCGGGGUAAAGGCCCACCAAGGCGACGAUCCGUAGCUGGUCUGAGAGUAUGAUCAGCCACACUGGAACUGAGACACGGUCCAGACUCCUACGGGAGGCAGCUGUGGGGAAUAUUGGACAAUGGGCGCAAGCCUGAUCCAGCCAUACCGCGUGGGUGAAGAAGGCCUUCGGGUUGUAAAGCCCUUUUGUUGGGAAAGAAAUCCAGCUGGCUAAUACCCGGUUGGGAUGACGGUACCCAAAGAAUAAGCACCGGCUAACUUCGUGCCAGCAGCCGCCGCCG
rnacentral:rRNA from 1 species